AGAAUCAACGCUGGCGGCGUGCCUAACACAUGCAAGUCGAACGAGAAAGUGGAGCAAUCCAUUAGUAAAGUGGCGCACGGGUGAGUAACACGUGACUAACCUACCUUCGAGUGGGGGAUAACCUCGGGAAACCGAGGCUAAUACCGCAUAACAUCGUGAGAUCAAAGCAGUAAUGCGCUGGAAGAGGGGGUCGCGGCUGAUUAGCUAGUUGGCGGGGUAAUGGCCCACCAAGGCGAAGAUCGGUAGCCGGCCUGAGAGGGCGCGACGGACCGACGACCUGGAACGUGAAACACGGUCCAGACUCCUACGGGAGGCAGCAGUGGGAAUUUGCGCAAUGGGGGAAACCCUGACGCAGCAACGCCGCGUGGAGGAUGAAGUCCCUUGGGACGUAAACUCCUUUCGACCAAGACGAUAAUGACGGUACUGGUGGAAGAAGCACCGGCUAACUCUGUGCCAGCAGCCGC
rnacentral:rRNA from 1 species